rnacentral:ncRNA from 1 species
GGUCAAGAGCAAUACUUUCUUGUUAAGAAUUUUAAACAAACAUCCCCGGAUUCCUCAGAAAAACAUACCUACCUACCUACCUACCUACCAUUCUAGGUACAUGCAUCUUUCAAAUGUCUGCCUUAUCAACUGUCGAUGCGUGGUAACUACCAUGGUGGUAACGGGUGACGGGGGAUUAGGGUUCGAUCCCGGAGAGGGAGCCUGAGAAACAGCAUAUCUACCUAGAUAG